AAUCACAGCCAGCUGUUACAACAGCCAGACAUCGGUGGCAGUUCCUAGCAGGGGGGGCUCCCCACCCUACAGCAGCUCUACCUGCCUGGGGCCGGCGGGGGGGCUCGGGGAGCACCUGAGGCAACCACGGAGGAGGAGGAGAAGGUGAAGAAGAAGGAGGAGAAGAAGGAGGAGAAGGAGGCGCUCGUCUCCUGCCACUGGGGCUCUCCCAGCACCGGGGAGCCGCGGGAGGAGUUACCUGGGCGAGCUGUGGAGGCCAUUUCCCGGGGAGAAACGCGCCCGGGGGCACCGGGCGGCAGAGAGGAUGCCCGUGAGGAGCCCCCCGCAGCCCUGCCCGCUGCCUCUUGAGGAAAGCAGGGCUUGAAAUCCUCCCUCCUCUUCCUCCCGGGGGACUUCCGCUGCAUGGAGGAAGACGCUUUUUACUAGAGAUUUAACUUGCUUAAAGAUAUCAAGGUAGGAGAUUUUUUUCCCCCUACAUUUUCUUUACUGUAUCUGUUUAAAU
rnacentral:lncRNA from 1 species